AGAGUUUGAUCAUGGUUCAGAUUGAACGCUGGCGACAGGCCUAACACAUGCAAGUCGAGCGGCAGCGGGAAGAAGCUUGCUUCUUUGCCGGCGAGCGGCGGACGGGUGAGUAAUGUCUGGGGAUCUGCCCGAUGGAGGGGGAUAACUACUGGAAACGGUAGCUAAUACCGCAUAACGUCGCAAGACCAAAGGGGGGGACCUUCGGGCCUCACACCAUCGGAUGAACCCAGAUGGGAUUAGCUAGUAGGUGGGGUAAUGGCUCACCUAGGCGACGAUCCCUAGCUGGUCUGAGAGGAUGACCAGCCACACUGAAACUGAGACACGGUCCAGACUCCUACGGGAGGCAGCAGUGGGGAAUAUUGCACAAUGGGGGAAACCCUGAUGCAGCCAUGCUGCGUGUGUGAAGAAGGCCUCCGGGUUGUAAAGCACUUUCAGCGGGGAGGAAGGCGAUGGCGUUAAUAGCGCCAUCGAUUGACGUUACCCGCAGAAGAAGCACCGGCUAACUCCGUGCCAGCAGCCGCGGUAAUACGGAGGGUGCGAGCGUUAAUCGGAAUUACUGGGCGUAAAGCGUACGCAGGCGGUCUGUUAAGUCAGAUGUGAAAUCCCCGGGCUCAACCUGGGAACUGCAUUUGAAACUGGCAGGCUAGAGUCUCGUAGAGGGGGGUAGAAUUCCAGGUGUAGCGGUGAAAUGCGUAGAGAUCUGGAGGAAUACCGGUGGCGAAGGCGGCCCCCUGGACGAAGACUGACGCUCAGGUACGAAAGCGUGGGGAGCAAACAGGAUUAGAUACCCUGGUAGUCCACGCUAUAAACGAUGUCGAUUUGAAGGUUGUGGCCUUGAGCCGUUGGCUUUGAGCCUGUUUAGAAAUUUGUGUAUUUGCCUGAUUUUGAUAUGUUCAAUCCAACAUCAAAAACAGGUUAAUUUAUGGACGAAAAACAGUUGCAGGCUCUGGCUAACGAACUGGCCAAAAAUCUCAAAACCCCUGAAGAUCUCAGUCACUUCGAUCGGCUGCUGAAAAAAAUUAGCGUCGAAGCAGCUCUCAAUGCCGAAAUGACCCAUCACCUCGGCUACGAUAAAAAUCAGCCUAAACCGGGGACCAACGCCCGCAACGG
rnacentral:rRNA from 1 species